rnacentral:rRNA from 1 species
UGGGGAAUUUUGGACAAUGGGGGAAACCCUGAUCCAGCCAUGCCGCGUGAGUGAAGAAGGCCUUCGGGUUGUAAAGCUCUUUCAGCCGGAACGAAACGGUCACGGCUAAUACCCGUGACUACUGACGGUACCGGAAGAAGAAGCACCGGCUAACUACGUGCCAGCAGCCGCGGUAAUACGUAGGGUGCGAGCGUUAAUCGGAAUUACUGGGCGUAAAGCGUGCGCAGGCGGUUUUGUAAGUCAGAUGUGAAAUCCCCGGGCUUAACCUGGGAACUGCGUUUGAAACUACAAGGCUAGAGUGUGGCAGAGGGGGGUGGAAUUCCACGUGUAGCAGUGAAAUGCGUAGAGAUGUGGAGGAACACCGAUGGCGAAGGCAGCCCCCUGGGUUAACACUGACGCUCAGGCACGAAAGCGUGGGGAGCAAACAGGAUUAGAUACCCCCGUAGUCC